GAGUUUGAUCCUGGCUCAGAACGAACGCUGGCGGCGUGCUUAACACAUGCAAGUCGAACGUGAUCCAGAGCUUGCUCUGGUGAAAGUGGCGCACGGGUGAGUAACACGUGGAUAAUCUGCCUGGCGAUUCGGGAUAACACUUCGAAAGGGGUGCUAAUACCGGAUAAGCCCACGGACUCUUAGGGGUUUGCGGGAAAAGGGGGCCUCUGUAUAUGCUCCUGUCGCUAGAUGAGUCCGCGGCCCAUUAGCUAGUUGGUAGGGUAAUGGCCUACCAAGGCGACGAUGGUUAGCUGGUCUGAGAGGAUGAUCAGCCACACUGGAACUGAGACACGGUCCAGACUCCUACGGGAGGCAGCAGUGGGGAAUUUUGCGCAAUGGGGGAAACCCUGACGCAGCAACGCCGCGUGAGUGAUGAAGGCUUUCGGGUCGUAAAGCCCUGUCAGAGGGGAAGAAAUGAAACGUGCUAAUAUCACGUUUUCUUGACGGUACCCUCAAAGGAAGCACCGGCUAACUCCGUGCCAGCAGCCGCGGUAAUAC
rnacentral:rRNA from 1 species